rnacentral:rRNA from 1 species
GUUGAACGCUGGCGGCGUGCCUAAUACAUGCAAGUCGAGCGACGCGUGCACGGGUGUGUAACACGUGGAUAACCUCCUUUCAGACUGGGAUAACUUCGGGAAACCGGUGCUUAUCCCGCUACUCUUAGAUGGACCCGCGCUGCAUUGGCUAGUUGGUAAGGUAACGGCUUACCAAGGCAACGAUGCAUAGCCGACCUGAGAGGGUGAUCGGCCACACUGGAACUGAGACACGGUCCAGACUCCUACGGGAGGAAGCAGUAGGGAAUCUUCGGCAAUGGGCGAAAGCCUGACGGAGCAACGCCGCGUGAGUGAUGAAGGUUUUCGGAUCGUAAAACUCUGUUAUUAGGGAAGCGGUACCUAAUCAGAAAGCCACGGCUAACUACGUGCCAGCAGCCGCGGUAAUAC